UACGUAGGGUGCAAGCGUUAAUCGGAAUUACUGGGCGUAAAGGGCUCGUAGGCGGCCAACUAAGUCAGACGUGAAAUCCCCAGGCUUAACCUGGGAACUGCGUCUGAUACUGGAUGGCUUGAGAUUGGGAGAGGGAUGCGGAAUUCCAGGUGUAGCGGUGAAAUGCGUAGAUAUCGAGAGGAACACCUGCGGCGAAGGCGGGUUGCUGGGCUGACACUGACGCUGAGGCGCGAAAGCUAGGGGAGCGAACGGG
rnacentral:rRNA from 1 species